GACAAAGCCAGCAAACAUGCUGGUCGAUGAAUUUACCGAGCAAACGAUCAGGGCAUCCUUGUAUACGUUGUUGGUAAAUUUGUUGUAGCUACCAAGAGCAACCAAUGUUCCAAGACCGAGUCCAUAGGAAAAGAAAAUCUGUAUUUGGACUGAUGUAAAAUCUUAUACCCUCCAUUGCACCAGGCAAAGUAAUCCCACGAAUUAAUAAAAUCGAUCUGUGAGUUCAUUGACGGUGACAUUCAUUUGAUUAACAGAACACAUCUUAAUUACAUUGUGAUUCCUUGUCAUUUGAUCCCAACAAAGUAACGAACUUCUAUCGUAAGGAUUUACGCAAUAUUUUGUAUUCCAGUAAUUAUUACAGCUACCCCAAGGACAUCACAGCAGCGGCAUAACCGAUGCCUUUAAAAAGAGGAGCAAUUUUAAAAACACCUAAACCGCCGACUGUUAACAUUUGACCGAGAGCUAAUUCCAUAAAGAACAUUGGUAUACCAGCUAGUACCAAUGUUAAGAAAUAUGGGAUCAAGAAAGCACCACCUCCAUUUUUAUAACAGAGAAAAAAAUCGAGAAAGAAGAAUGGAGACAGAAGAGAGGAAGAGAAGGAAAAGGCAAAAAAGAGAGGGAGUCAAUGAACUAUUAAAAAUAAAGGUAGCGGAGAAAAGUAUACGGAUGUCCUUACCAGUAUCGGAACAUUUCCGAUGAAACGAAAUAAUGAUAAAGUAGGCGAGCAAGACUAGGAAGCUGGUAUAUCCGGAGGGUCCACG